rnacentral:rRNA from 1 species
AUUGAACGCUGGCGGCAGGCCUAACACAUGCAAGUCGAGCGAGCGGCGGACGGGUGAGUAAUGUAUGGGGACUGCCCGAAAGAGGGGGAUAACUACUGGAAACGGUGGAGAAUACCGCAUGCUAGCGGAUAACCCUUAUGGGAUUAGCUAGUAGGUGGGGUAAAGGCUCACCUAGGCGACGAUCCCUAGCUGGUCUGAGAGGAUGAUCAGCCACACUGGGACGGAUACACGGCCCAGACUCCUCCGGAGGCAGCAGUGGGGAUUCUUCCACAAUGGGCGCAAGCCUGAUGCAGCCAUGCCGCGUGUAUGAAGAAGGCCUUAGGGUUGUAAAGUACUUUCAGCGGAGAGGCGUUACCCGCCCAGGAAGCACCGGCUAACUCCGUGCCAGCAGCCGCGGUAAUUC